rnacentral:rRNA from 1 species
ACUCCUACGGGAGGCAGCAGUGGGGAAUAUUGCACAAUGGGCGCAAGCCUGAUGCAGCCAUGCCGCGUGUGUGAAGAAGGCCUUCGGGUUGUAAAGCACUUUCAGUAGGGAGGAAGGUAGUGUAGUUAACACCUGCACUAUUUGACGUUACCUACAGAAGAAGCACCGGCUACUCGAUGCCAGCCAGCCGCGGGUAAUACGGAGGGUGCGAGCGUUAAUCGGAAUUACUGGGCGUAAAGCGCAUGCAGGCGGCCUGUUAAGUCAGAUGUGAAAGCCCGGGGCUUAACCUCGGAAUUGCAUUUGAAACUGGUAGGCUAGAGUCUUGUAGAGGGGGGUAGAAUUUCAGGUGUAGCGGUGAAAUGCGUAGAGAUCUGAAGGAAUACCAGUGGCGAAGGCGGCCCCCUGGACAAAGACUGACGCUCAGAUGCGAAAGCGUGGGGAGCAAAC